rnacentral:rRNA from 1 species
UAGGGAAUCUUCGGCAAUGGACGAAAGUCUGACCGAGCAACGCCGCGUGAGUGAAGAAGGUUUUCGGAUCGUAAAACUCUGUUGGUAGAGAAGAACGACAUUGAGAGUAACUGUUCAAUGUGUGACGGUAUCUUACCAGAAAGGAACGGCUAAAUACGUGCCAG